rnacentral:lncRNA from 1 species
AAAGAUUUAUUUGUAUUGUAGGAUGGAAGCUAGCUUUCAAGUUCUUCGUAAUGUUUUUAAAACUUUUAGGUGAUUUUGUUGGAGGGAUAUUUUAUGUAGGAAUAGGUGGUAUCGGAAUAGGUGAUAAAUCUAAGACAUUCAUUAUAGGAUGGAGAUUGGAAGAUUGUUGAUAGAAAUGAGUUAAAGAAGAACACCGACUGGCUUCCCCCAGGAUGGAUAAUAAAAAGCAAAGAAAGAACUAAUGGAAACUCGUCGGGGAGAGUAGAUUAUGUAAGCCUAAUACUUAACCCUACUUUAAUUUUAUUUUAGAUCUAUUCUAAUUUUGUGUUUGAAUUAAAAAUUCAAGUGUUUUUUCUUAGAAAAGUUUUGGAUCAGAGUUAGUUAAACAUGUUUUUUUAUGGUGUACAAUGCUUGAGGCCUAGGAAGAAAUUGAAUAUUUUCCAGAUAUCAUUAUAGGAUGAGAACAUAAAUCGGCUCAAGUGAAUAAUGGAUAAUCUUACACCUUGGGUCAUGGCAGAUAAUCCUACAACCAGGUCAUGGCAUGUUCAGUUCAUCUUCUAAUUAUUGCCAUUUGCAUAAUUAAUUAAGUAGCUCGCUACAAUGAUAUUCUGAAUUCUCAUUUUCAUUUUUUUUCAGGACAGGUUGAGCGUAGCUACUUUGGAAAUGGAUCAACAGAUCCAGAUUAUAUGGAUGAUGCCAAACCCUCUUUUGCACCUGAGUUUCAAUCACUUUCGAAGAACAAGAUCCGCAUUGCUUGGAUGCAUAAUCUAGCUUUCUUUUUUUUAUCUUUAACUUUGUUAGAUUUAUUCAAAAACUGAUUUAUAUUGGCAAAUGUAUUUGUAAUUGAAAAUAUCAUAUUUGGUAAAAAUUUUUUUUUUUUUUUUUAGAAUUUUAAUAUCAUUUUAUUGAUACUCAGGAAAUUACACAAAACUAGAGUACAAGCACGCUACAAACUGUGCUACAAGUCUUUUCUGAAUAGGAAACCCGAUUCUUCUAAAUACAUAUUCGUGCGAACCAG